rnacentral:sRNA from 1 species
AAAUUGGGAAACUCAUCAAAUUUAUCAGAAAUGCCGAGACAAGCUUAUCAAUUAAUGGCGGGCCCCGCGCCGCAAGGCGUUGACUCCCCGAGUCACAAGGCGGAUUACAAAGAUUGAAGGCACUCAAAUCCUGUCGUUCGGAGUUUCGUCACAUUCCUUUGGUGUGGAUCUUUU